UACGUAGGGUGCAAGCGUUGUCCGGAAUUACUGGGCGUAAAGCGCGUGUAGGCGGUUUGGUAAGUCGGAUGUGAAAGCCCCGGGCUCAACCCGGGAAGUGCACUCGAUACUGCCAAGCUAGAGUAUCGGAGAGGUUGGUGGAAUUCUCGGUGUAGAGGUGAAAUUCGUAGAUAUCGAGAGGAACACCGGUGGCGAAGGCGGCCAACUGGACGAAUACUGACGCUGAGACUCGAAAGCGUGGGGAGCAAACAGG
rnacentral:rRNA from 1 species